CACACACACACACACACGAGGAUCCCUAAUCAAAUCUACAGACUUAUUAUCAGAGAUACUUGCUAAAUAAAAGGAAGAAAAGUGGAUUUCUUUAAAACGUUUUACAUUCAUUUUUGGAAGAAUAUAGGUAAAUAACAUUAUCCUGAGCAGUUUUCAAACAGCGUUGAAUUUGCAUCUUUAGCUAAAAAAAAAAAUAAUCAAGAACGUGCUUCCUUCCAUGCCUGUCUACCUUUUUCCAUUUAUAAAAGGAGAGCAUAUAGAAAGGGAAAUUAACCUGGCAAGAACUCCUGGAAAACCAUAGGCAUUUUGAGGUUAUUCCAUACACAUAAUUGAUUUUCUUUUAAUAUAUGCAACUCUAUCAUUUAGGAGAGCUGGAAUAAAGGGGAUCUCAUGCUGAAAGAAGGGCUAAUUCUCAGAGAAAUCAUCUUCUACCUAACAUUCCUUUACUUCUGGCAGCAGGGAAACAGAAAACUUGAGAGAAAUAAGAUUGAAAACAAUACCUUAUAUUUGCUGUGUCUUAUAAGACCUGUGUUUCAGAACAGUCUAACUGCUGGUGGAGCUGUCUGUCCUUAUGGUAUAUGCUAGACUCCAGCUCAAUAUCCCAUUUUAUAUACCAACUAUUUAAUUAUUAAAAUGCACCCUGAUAUGUAAGUUAACAGUAUCAAAAUGGAGAGAUUCUUUUAUAAAUGAGAAUAUUAUCAAAUAAUCAAGUUGGGAAAUUCAGAAAUUUUAUGGCUUAAGAAAUGGAAGGGAAAGAAAUUAUUGAAAGCACUUUUAUGAGACAUCUGUACAGGUUCAGUGUAUUCCUCCACAUAAUCCAAUGAUAUGGAAAGUGUGCCAAAUGCAUUCUUGCUUUUGGUUAUCAAAGCCAGCUUCAAUUUUUAUAUAAAGCUUGCAAAUAAUGGUUUACAUUUGUACAGUUAUCCCUGGAAGCAGAAUUUAUCUUCCUUAAAUGCAAUAACUUUCAAGGGUAAUAAGUGAUGAAAUCCUACUUAACACCUUUUCCUCAUGUCAAAUUUCUCACUUUUAAAAAUGUCAGCAAAAUAUAUGUUUACCUUUACAAUUAUUUUAGCAGCAUGACUCAAUUAUAUGAGCAUUACUGCAAUGAAAAAUCUGUCAAGAUUUCUUUCCUGGAGUAUCGUUUAAGCCUUAGUACUAAGAGAAGUAUACAAAGGCAUCCAGAAAGAAUAUUAUUUUUCUCAAAACUAGCCAUCUGGAUCAUGUAAUUUUAAUCUUCAGUAGUUAUACAGUUCAAUUUAUUCACUUUGUUUUUUAAGGGAGAUAUUUUGAAAAGUAAUUGCAUAUUUGGUUACUUAAUAGAAUUGUUCUUUCCAUCUGGAAAGAAUGGGAUAGAGAGUCAGAAAUCUGAUCUGCACAUUACAGUUUUAGAGAAAACCUUUGAGAAUUAGUUUCUACUAGUAUGUAGCUUCAGUGGGGGUAGGGGUAAAGGAUUUACUAAAAUUUUUAUUUAAAGCCCAUGAGCAUGUAAGAUAAAGCCUGAAAAGUUUCUGGGCCUACCUAGUCCUUCCAAAUGAACAGAGAACUUUAGUAGAAAUAGGGCAUAAAAUCAUCCUAGCAAAUUAAUCUUUCUUUCUCCCAGAACAUUCUUGGAUUUGACUGGGCAUAUCUAUCUUUGUAGUCAAUGAAUUAAGAAGGAUAGGUUGUGUAUUAGCUGUCAAAAUUGGCUUAGUAACAUUUCAGUUAACUAAUCUCUUUCUCUGAGUGUUUGAAUUUUCCUACCUUUUCCAGAUCACGAACAUAAGACUUGUAGAGAAGCAUUUGACUCAUUUGUAUUUCUUAAGGAAGCUAAUAUAUUGGUUUUCUAUAUUGAUAUACCUUAUCUUUAUAAAAACUCACGAAUACAUUGUAGAUAUAUAUGUUCUUGCUCUUUGCCAAUCUAUACCUGCAAAUACUGAUAGAACAGGUAGCUAGGUAGAUGAGCAUUGAAGCCUGACAAUGUGACUCAUAGGCUAAUAAAAUAAAUAGUAUAGCUGUAGUAUGUAACUGUAGGGAAAAGACCUAGCCUAAACAUUUUCAAAGAUACCAUGUGAUGUUUAAUGACCUUUUUUCUAGGUGAAAUGUGAUUGUGCUUUAUUCUCUUUUAACAAGUUCACUUUCAGAGAAACGUGCUGAACCACCAUUUGUGGCCUGAGCCUGUUGCUGAGAGGUAAUAACAGGCAUCCAUUAGGGUAAAUAGGAGUGGCCAAUAGAAGAAUUCCAAAGCUGGGCAGUAGGGGAAGGAAAGGAAAGGUAUAAAUAUGAGGUAAUGCUUUUUCCUAAAAAAAUAAAUUAAAAGCAACAGUGAUUUAUAAGAUGAUUUUCCUUUAGCAGACUGAAUUAGAGGAUCUUGGACAAAACUAAAAAUUUGGAGAGUGUUUGAGUCUAUCUUUUUAGACAUCUUGGUAGGCUGGCUAAAAAAAAGGUCACAGAAAGUUAGCUACUUACCAUUUCUUGGCAGCUGGAGAGCUGAACCACUCUCCCCCGUGGGAGUCCCAUCUCAGUGGUUGCUCCUUCUAUAGUCACCAUGUUGUCUGCUUUGGGGGAUGGUUAUCCAUAGCCUGAGCAAACUUCAAAAAAAUCAUAUCUAUUAUUUCAGCUGUCUACUCCUCCCAUGCUAUCUGUGUAGGAUAGCUUCAGGACCACUCAGCAUUUGGAAUGUGCCGGAGUGGGAUGGGGUAUGGGAUGUGAAGACAAUGACUAUGACAAGUGAUAAGUGCACGAUAGAAAAGAAUAGCAGAAAUACAAGUCCACAAACAAAAAUCUAAAAAGCUAGUGAAUCCAUUCCUAUGGUCAUGUGUCUGUAACACAAAUGGGACUUUGUCUCUUCUGUACAAUAGAUGCACUUAAAAAAAAGUGAAUUUGAAGUUCCUUUUGACCUCAGGUUUACCAACAGGUAGCAUGCCUUGGCCAAGUGAAGUGAUUUAUGAAAACAAAGGCCGAAUGCCAGUUGUAAGUCAGAAUGAGAGCCAGUGUUGUAUACCGUCAAGCAUAAACUGGUGACAUGUUCUCCAAGUCUUGAAACUAUACUCAGGGCUUAUUCUGGAGGCAGCUGCCCAUGAUAAGAGAUCAAAAAUCAAAACCAAAGGAAAUCCCACAUCUUCAGUUCUGAAAUUGUGAAGGAAGUCUGUACAGGGAUGAAAUGCAUUUUUGAUGAGGGCAAGUUUUGACAUUGUUAGGAAAUGGAAGACUUCAUUAUCUACCAACAAAAUUAUUCUAAGGUCUCCAACAAAGCUUUCAAAUAUGGGCAGAAAAAAUCUGUCAUUCUCACUU